ensembl:snoRNA SNORD1A small nucleolar RNA, C/D box 1A
AAAAGCCAAUGAUGUUUUGUUAUCCCUGUCUGAAAAUUUAAGUGAGGGGAAAGCAAAUCACUUCUGAGGCUUCC